rnacentral:lncRNA from 1 species
UCACCCUGUAAACCUCCAUGCCAACACACCUACCAUUAUGUAAACAACCUCUUCUCCAUCUCUAACAAUCAUUAAACUUGCAGCUUAACAUAUCAGCUUAAACACCUCAUGUUUCGGCUGAAACAAUCUCUACACCAUUAACUUCCUCUUCUUCCUAACCCACACUUCCGCCAUCCUUCCUCCCUUGGCUCCUUAACCGCAAUGUUUUCCUCUGCUUCACCCACUAUGAAAAAG